UAAAGCACGAUGAAAAAGAAGAGUAGUAAUAGGAAUUUUGAAGAGAGGCUAUGUCUGGUGUAAAUAGCUAAAGGAUUAUUAUGAAAGGAGCUUUAGAGUGUAAUAUAUUGAAAGUAGGGCUGUUGUCAAAAAGGGUGGAACCGCGGAAGGUAUCUUUCGUCCCUUGA
rfam:Clostridium tetanomorphum DSM 665 contig159, whole genome shotgun sequence.